CGCAGCCAGCCCGGCCGGGCGCUGCCCCGCGCCGCUCCAGCGCCGCGCCGUGCGGGGGGGCCGCCCGCUGCAUCCCGCUGCCUGCGGCUGCACCAACGCGCUCCCAGCACGCCCACGGCCGCCAACACAAUGGAAACGCAGCCGAGAGGGACAGGAAGUUUGCCUGGGCUGGAAAGACCAGAUCACUCAUCACAUUAUGGCCCAUCUGCACUCUGUUCAUGGGGAAUAUUGCUGGUGUUACUUAAGGGCUGGUGCUUUUGAAUAUUAUCUCCAGUAUUUUGUUAUAAAUUUACCACUGUAGCUACAGUGAGAAACAACACCUUCAGCUUCUUGCUUCCAACAGCGCAACAUGAGGCUGUACCUGGGACCCGUCACAGGGUGAAAAAAACCCAAACGGUUACAAAUGGCUCCUGCUUCUGCUCUAAUGAUUUACAGCACUGAACUUAACUGUGGCAUGAAGGUCAUCCACAAGUACAUCAAUCUCUGCUUCCAGAUGUGGACAAAGCAUCCUUCCAACUGAAAAUCAGUCAAAAGAGUGAUCACAAUGACUGAAGCUUGGGAACUUGCAGUAAACUGCAACCAGGAUCAAUUUUGCAGGCUGAACAUAAAAUCAUGCCUCAUCUCCAAAUGCCAUGGAAGAUAACAGAAAAAAAGGAGUCUUCUUCAUAUACAUCACGCGAGAGGCCGAAAUCAGAAAUCUUCAUUUUGCGCCCUUCUGCCACCAGCACGUUCCUGGCUGCUAAAUCCCGAUGCACAAGCUUUUGGAAGGAAACAACAGGAGUGUUUAUGCUUCUUGUGGGGAACCAGCUGCUUGCUCCACGUCUAUCACACGCUGGGAUCACCCCUGUCUGCCCUACCUUCAUUUCUGCAAGAAUUCUUCAGACUGACAAGCUUCCUCUUUGAGUGCACUGAGGCUUGAAGGAGAUCUCUAGUUAUAAAGACACCAUAGGUCAGAGAUAACCCUUCUUCUUCCUCAUCCUUAAUCUCUCUGACACACAGAACUGGCCUGGACAGUUCCUCCAGUGUCAUUACUGGGCAUUGACAAGGAUGUGUUCAUCCUGAUUUAAGGAUAAUAAAAACAAGUUUGGCUUCUGCUC